rnacentral:rRNA from 1 species
CGGCGUGCCUAAUACAUGCAAGUCGAGCGAACAGACGAGGAGCUUGCUCCUCUGACGUUAGCGGCGGACGGGUGAGUAACACGUGGAUAACCUACCUAUAAGACUGGGAUAACUUCGGGAAACCGGAGCUAAUACCGGAUAAUAUAUUGAACCGCAUGGUUCAAUAGUGAAAGACGGUUUUGCUGUCACUUAUAGAUGGAUCCGCGCCGCAUUAGCUAGUUGGUAAGGUAACGGCUUACCAAGGCAACGAUGCGUAGCCGACCUGAGAGGGUGAUCGGCCACACUGGAACUGAGACACGGUCCAGACUCCUACGGGAGGCAGCAGUAGGGAAUCUUCCGCAAUGGGCGAAAGCCUGACGGAGCAACGCCGCGUGAGUGAUGAAGGUCUUCGGAUCGUAAAACUCUGUUAUUAGGGAAGAACAAAUGUGUAAGUAACUAUGCACGUCUUGACGGUACCUAAUCAGAAAGCCACGGCUAACUACGUGCCAGCAGCCGCGGUAAUACGUAGGUGGCAAGCGUUAUCCGGAAUUAUUGGGCGUAAAGCGCGCGUAGGCGGUUUUUUAAGUCUGAUGUGAAAGCCCACGGCUCAACCGUGGAGGGUCAUUGGAAACUGGAAAACUUGAGUGCAGA